AACGGGUUCGGAUCGGAUACGGAUUUUAAAUGUCUGACCCGUUUAUUAAUUGGGUCAGAUACGGGUUUUAAAUGUCUGACCCGUAUCCGACCCGUUUAACCCGUUUUAUUUGCAUCAGCUAUUCAGCCCAACGGCCCAACUUCCCGCGUCGGCCCAAUUUCAGGCUUUUCAGCGCGACCCGUUUAAGGUUUAACCCGUCCACCGCCCGUGACUUGAGAGUUGAGACUUCUCGACUUCGUAAUUCCGUGAAUCGUGAGUUCGUGGCCUUAGGGAUUUAGGGUUUGUGCUGCCGUCCGCCGUCGCCUCCAAACAGCAUUGAAACAUGUCGUACUCUGUGUUUCUUUUUAACAGGAUGAUAGCAGAGAAGCAAUUGCAAUCACUUAGAAGUAUCUACUGACAUUGAAACAGGAUGAUAGCAGAGAAGCAUUGAAACAUGUCGUUUUGUUUUUCUUUUGGAAAUGAGGAACACGGGGCACCCACAUUGAUAUUGAUUUGACUCGUGGGUAGCUUGUGUAUGUUCCAGUGCUUCUGACAUUGGGUGGCUCUGUGGCUUUUGCCUUACUCUGUGGCAUUUGUUUAACUUAUUUUCUUUCCAUUUCCCUUCCAAACAGCAUUGAAACAUGUCGUACUCUGUGGCAUUUUUUUUUACUCUGUGGCUUUUGCUUAUGUUAUCCAAUUAUAAAUGCUUGUGAUUGACCCAGACUGGCCUGUAUGUUCGCACAUUAAGUUUUAACCUGUAUCAUUCCUGUCAUACCGACAAUUUCUUAUUGUAUGUGCACUUCUGGUGAAUUUUUUUAUAUGCUGAAAACAAUUGGGAACUGUUAGAUGUUAAUGACUGGGUGUUUGCAAGAGAGAUAGGUGGAUGGCUUAUCAAAUGCAUUUUCCUGCUGACUAAUUUAGCUGUGAGAGAUCCUGACUAGAAAGGAUUGCAUUUGUUUCCUGGUUGCAUGAUAGCAAGAUUACAGGAAAGAAAUGGGAACAAGGAAAACAAUAACCUGGGUGACAAAGGUGUUUUCAUCCGAAUUCAGGAUGAAGGUUUAAUUAAAGGUUGAUGAUACCAAUGAAUACUUGGAUUCACGCGGUGUAUCAGAGAUUCUAUAUCAGAGGAUUUGACCAUGGAUAGGAAAACAUGACAUAAUAGGAUGCUCAAGAUUUCAGGCAGCAAGGAACAAAGAUGAGAAGGAAGAGAGGUUACUGAUACAGUAAAUUUUGUUGUUGGGUGGAAUUUUUAGUGAUUGGCAUAUGUGAUAUGCGGCCUGCACUUGUUUAAAAGGAUGUUAAAUUGGGAUAUAUCACACAUGCUGGUGUUAAAACUCUCACUGUAUAGAGCCAGAAUCACAAACUCAGCUUUUGGAUGCCACUAUGAAUAUGGAAGGAGUUCUAUUAGCAGGAGUCCCUGGAGCAGGUGGUUAUGAUGCAGUUUUUGCUAUUAUAUUGGGAGAAGCCAACAAUGCUGUAAUCAAAUCUUGGAGCUCAGUCGGUGUUUUGCCCCUGCUUGUUAGAGAAGAUCCUAAAGGUGUGUCACUGGAAAAUGGUGACCCAAGAGCCAAAGAAGUGUCAUCUGCCAUUUCUUCAAUUCAAAUAAAUUAGGUUCGAGACUGUACUGUUAAUUGAGAUUCACAGGCGAUUCUCUCUUAAUUUCUUUUGGCAGCGAUUACCAAAAAUGAUUCAGAUGGAGAAUGUAUUGUUAUACAAUGUACACCUUGGCAGAAUGAAAACCAGCUCAUAAGAGCAUUGAAUAUGCUCUACUGUGUUCCA